GUUCAACUUAGAAAUAUCUAGAUGAGCCUCUAGUGACAAUAACUAAACGAAUAAAAGCAAAUAAAAGAAGAACUACACCGAAUUUACGUUUCCAAUCUCUACAAAGAAUAAUUGGAAAGAUACUACUCAUAGCUAUUUGAUCUACCUUUACUGGCAACCCUGUAAGCCCCCUGCUAGAAGUGGUAUGUAUUGAAACAAGAUAAUGUCCAUUCAGAAACACAAAGCCCAUGGGAUGGGGGAUGGGGAGUGAAUGUCCUGCUUGUUGGUGUUGGCAACAGUCCAUCUCCCCAUAAUGAAGUGUUUUAAGGUAUGAAUUAACAAGAAAUACUAUUUAAAAAAAAACGAAAUGCCGAGUUUACCUUCAUCUAUAAACUGUCCAAGU